CUUCACCGAGCCCAGCCACAACGGCAGCUGCGGAUCCCGGCCCUGGCCGUACGUGGCCAGUAACGCCUGCGCCUC
rnacentral:antisense_RNA from 1 species